rnacentral:rRNA from 1 species
CGUACGUGGUGCGGAACACGUUGUUGCACUGCUUUAUCUGGGGGAUAGCCUUUCGAAAGGAAGAUUAGUACCCCAUAAUAUGUAGAAUGGCGUCAUUCGACAUUGAAAACUCCGGUGGAUAGAGAUGGGCACUGCGCAAGAUUAGAUAGUUGGUGAGGUAACGGUCACCAAGUCUAAGAUCUUAGGGGCCUGAGAGGGUGAUCCCCCACACUGGUACUGAGACACGGACCAGACUCCUACGGGAGGCAGCAGUGAGGAAUAUUGGACAAUGGGUGAGAGCCUGAUCCAGCCAUCCCGCGUGAAGGACGACUGCCCUAUGGGUUGUAAACUUCUUUUGUAUAGGGAUAAACCUACCUCGUGAGGGUAGCUGAAGGUACUAUACGAAUAACACGGCUAACUCCGUGCCAGCAGCCGCGGUAAUACGGAGGGUGCAAGCGUUAUCCGGAUUAAUUGGGUAUAAAUCGGGUCCGNUAAGGGGGAUAUGUAAAGGUCAAGUGGGUGAAAAUCAUUCAACAGAGUUUACUUGNUGAAAAAUUGCUAUAAGAAUACUGAAACGGGUACUGAAAAAUGAUUGCAUUGAAAAUUAUCAAUGGAAAAUGA